AGCGAACGCUGGCGGCAGGCCUAACACAUGCAAGUCGAACGAUCCUUCGGGAUAGUGGCGGACGGGUGAGUAACACGUGGGAACGUGCCCUUUGGUUCGGAACAACUCAGGGAAACUUGAGCUAAUACCGAAUGUGCCCUUCGGGGGAAAGAUUUAUCGCCAUUGGAGCGGCCCGCGUCUGAUUAGCUAGUUGGUGAGGUAAUGGCUCACCAAGGCGACGAUCAGUAGCUGGUCUGAGAGGAUGAUCAGCCACAUUGGGACUGAGACACGGCCCAAACUCCUACGGGAGGCAGCAGUGGGGAAUCUUGCGCAACGGGCGAAAGCCUGACGCAGCCAUGCCGCGUGAAUGAUGAAGGUCUUAGGAUUGUAAAAUUCUUUCACCGGGGACGAUAAUGACGGUACCCGGAGAAGAAGCUCCGGCUAACUUCGUGCCAGCCGCCGCAGUAACAC
rnacentral:rRNA from 1 species